AGCCAUUCAUUUUUGAGACAGGGAUGUUACCAAAGCUGUUUUGUCUUCAUUAGUUAUGUUAUAGCUAAUAUUCAAAGAUGCAUUACAAGCUGAAAACGUUUUUCAACCAAAAAAAACAAUUAUGACCAUAACCAUAACUAUUUGCAUGACAAUUAAUCGUUACCCAAAAUUAUUCAACGCCCUUCAUGAAGGAAGCAAUGGGAUGCUCGCGGAGGGCCAUGCAGGAAUGCCCACAUGCAGGAACGCCCGAAUUGCAGGCUGCAGUUGCGCGCUAUUGGAAUAAUUCAGUGAGACGUCAGGCUACCUGAGAACUGCUGCAGCUCCGAUUCAGUGUGCUAGGGUACAAAAAUAAGAGUGCGUCAAAGAAACGCUGAGCUCUCCAAUUGGCCUAAACGCGUGUCUGUCAAGAAGGAUAAACUCUGCUAUCCGCUGGCUGCAGUGGUCGCUGGCUCCAUUGAGAAGAGAAGAUGUGGAGAAAAUAUUUGACAUGGAGCUAAAAUGGGGAAAUCGCAGUUUAUUUGCUAAAGCAUAAAUCUGCGGAAGGAGUUCGAUCAGCCAGGUGAUUAACACCGAGCUCCUCAGACUCUUCCUCUGCAGUCCAUCUCCAAACACACCAGCGUCAGGGGACAGCAGUCCAUUUAAUUAAAGUGCUUAAGCGAUUAGCAUGGCGCCCAUAAUGGAGGACAGGCAUACUGUCCUGCAUCUCUAUGAGCCCGUCCGCGAGCUAUGCAGUAUCAGCCUCUAUCUCCCCAAGGGGAGGGCCCCAGUGUUUACAUACAAGAGCCACGCCCCUCUGUGGGCCCAGCCCAGUAAUGACCAAGACCAGGGAGAGGUGGAUCCCACGGCAGCUAAACAAAGAGGCCAGUCUUAUGAGUCCGCAGCCGAACUCCUCAACUCCUACCAGGCAACAAAGGAAGCUGUUGCUGAGCUCUGCUGGCUGGCCACGGAGCACCACCAGUUGCUGACUGAUCUCUUAUCUCUGUGCGGAGACUGCGCCAACAAAGUCAGGAUGGGUAAUCAGGAUGGGAAGCUCCAGAGUCACAGGGAGGGUUGUGGGAGCUUCUCAGGACAGGUCCUCAGUAGUAAUGCUCAACAUGCUCUCUCCUUGUCCCCGGAGCACAAGAGAGCCUCCUCACGGGGCAGAAAGCUGAAGAAGCUGGGUGUGAAGAAGUUAGACAGUGCAGAAGAGUUCCUGCAUAGCAAGAUGAAGAAGAAAGUAGGGCUAGGGAGCACUGCAGUUGAGUCUUUAUCUGUCCAGUCCUUGGCUCAGACCCGGAAUCAAUCCAACCUUGUCCCAGUGGUGGAGGAGCAGAGAGUUCCUGGGACCCUAGCAUCUCUCCGAGCUGUGGCCAGCAACCCCAUCCUCCCUGUGGAGGAGCACUUCCAUAUUGCCAGGGAGGGCUGGGACUUCAUGGAGGACGACUCUCUAGCCUCUGAGCCAAACCUGGACUGCACUGACAUGUCUGAGUAUGACAGUGAACUCUGCUUGGGCUAUGAAGCUUCUUCCUGUAGUUUAUUGGAAAACGUUCAGGAUCAUAUCGAACGGGAGUAUAUGCUGAGUGGGAACAACAUUCGUCCCAUGCGGUCUGAGGAGAAGUCAGCCCACCAGCUCUAUGAUGAGAUCAACAGGAGGGACACAGGGGUUAGGGUGGUGGCCAAGGUGCAGGAAAAUGAGGCCACAGUUCAACGUGCUAGCCAUAUGAGCCCAAACAGAUCCAAAGAGUUCUAUCCAGAGGCUGAAUCAGUUGCACCUCAGCUGAGGACCAGCAGCUGUCAGCAGGAGUUUGGGGAAUGGAGGAGUCUAAACGGGGACAUUAGGGAUACGGUAGGGACCAAACCUGCAGAGGGGCUAAGGCUACCUCUCUCACACCCUACUGAGGCCUCCUCUACCAAAUCCCACAGUAAGAGUCCCUGUUCACCCUCUCUGUGUGGGGUGUUCAACACCUCAUACCCUGCCACCAACAGUCUGCAGAGCAUGUCCCCAGUGCUGUCCCCUCUAUUGACCAAGCUCCCCAGCCCCCAGCUCAACCAUCGCAUCCUGCUCCUUUCUGACGAGGAUGUUUGCCAGGGGACGGACAGUGACAGCCCCCGGACUGGAUCCAAAGAAGCGCCCAAAGUCACCACGGAGGUCAUAGAUAAGAAUGGCAACAAGCGGACCAUCACACGGCUGGACCUGAACCUCAGCAGACUACCAGCGACUUCCAAAUGGAAUUCCACCAGCCUCUCCACGGCAACAGAGGAGGCCGACAUCUGGAUGCUGGACGGUGAUGAUGCCAUCUCCCAGACCCAGAACUCCCUGAACCCCGCCUCCCGUCCUGACCACCUGGACAUCCUCAGGAUCACGCCCCCAGAAGAUGACAUCAUCGGAGAUACCCCCUACUAUCCUGGACUGGAGUGCACGGUGAGAGCAGCAAUACAUCAUACUUAUGUCAUGAAUCAUGUGACCUGACCAGGAAAAAACUGGCCAAAUUGCAAAUAGGGCCUAGAGUAUUCCCUGGUCAGGUCACAUGGUCAGGAACAACUCUGGUCAGGUCACAUGGUCAGGAACAAAUCUGGGCCCUAUUUGAUACUCUAUGAAGGCAACUACACAUUAACAGUAGUUAUCAUUACGUAUCCACUCUCAGAGCAGUGUAGCAUGACAUUGCUGUUACCUCAUGGCUCCAAGGACAAACAAAAACCCACAAAUUCUGACAAACUCCAAGCAUUGAUUAUGCAAGAAUGGGC
ensembl:lncRNA